rnacentral:rRNA from 1 species
AAUGAACGCUGGCGGCAGGCCUAACACAUGCAAGUCGAACGGAUCCUUCGGGAUUAGUGGCGGACGGGUGAGUAACGCGUGGGAACGUGCUCUUUGGUUCGGAAUAGCCUCGGGAAACUGGGAGUAAUACCGGAUAAGCCCUUCGGGGGAAAGAUUUAUCGCCAAAGGAUCGGCCCGCGUUGGAUUAGGUAGUAGGUGGGGUAAUGGCCUACCAAGCCGACGAUCCAUAGAUGGUUUGCGAGGAUGAUCAGCCACACUGGGACUGAGAUACGGCCCAGACUCCUACGGGAGGCAGCAGUGGGGAAUCUUAGACAAUGGGGGAAACCCUGAUCUAGCCAUGCCGCGUGAUCGAUGAAGGCCUUAGGGUUGUAAAGAUCUUUCAGUUGGGAAGAUAAUGACGGUACCAACAGAAGAAGCCCCGGCUAACUCCGUGCCAGCCGCCGCCGUAAUAC